UGUCCCACUCUCACGAGUCACUCACGAAUUCUCCCGAGUUUUCCCCUUAAUUCAAACUCCCAGAAUGUUCGUAAUGAGUCUGUAGGAGUUCGUAAGAGUCCGUAGAUGUUUCAUAGCGGCUCGUAAUGCC